AGGCGUAAACACUCCAAUUCAUUCCUAAAAUAUUUGUUUCAAAAUAAUUAUUUGCACAGAUCUGUUAAAAAAGUCACAUAACCUUUGAAAGACUACUCACAAUUUUAAAAGUUGGAAAAAGUAGAUGACUUGGCUCAAAAUCUCCAUUUCGGGACUUUUCACAUUUUCUUUUAGGCGUAAACACUCCAAUUCAUUCCUAAAAUAUUUGUUUCAAAAUAAUUAUUUGCACAGAUCUGUUAAAAAAGUCACAUAACCUUUGAAAGACUACUCACAAUUUUAAAAGUUGGAAAAAGUAGAUGACUUGGCUCAAAAUCUCCAUUUCGGGACUUUUCACAUUUUCUUUUAGGCGUAAACACUCCAAUUCAUUCCUAAAAUAUUUGUUUCAAAAUAAUUAUUUGCACAGAUCUGUUAAAAAAGUCACAUAACCUUUGAAAGACUACUCACAAUUUUAAAAGUUGGAAAAAGUAGAUGACUUGGCUCAAAAUCUCCAUUUCGGGACUUUUCACAUUUUCUUUUAGGCGUAAACACUCCAAUUCAUUCCUAAAAUAUUUGUUUCAAAAUAAUUAUUUGCACAGAUCUGUUAAAAAAGUCACAUAACCUUUGAAAGACUACUCACAAUUUUAAAAGUUGGAAAAAGUAGAUGACUUGGGACGUGUGAUGUAUAAGAAUGUUUUGCUCAACAAUGGACUGCACGCUCAACUAUGGUCCUUGAAACGAUAUUGCCCAGUGAUGUGGGAGAUGUAAGUGUGUGUGGCCACCUGCUUACAUUUGGAUAAUAAUGAAAAUAACAAACCACACAUGCUUUGGAUCAUAUUCUCAAUGUAAGCAAUGCAUGAGUCAAUAUGCAAUCAAAGAAAUACUACAAUGCCGAUACAACAGCAAUAUAAAAUUUUCAUCAAAGAUUAAUUUACCUGAUUCACUUUUGAAGCUUUGAAUUCCAUUUCAAGUGUUUCAUAAGAAAUUUCAAGCUGUUGUUUUGCUUCAACUUCUUGAGAACAUUUUUCCUUGAGACUUUUUCUCUUGUCCUCUUCUUUUAAGACAAGUCUGAAGUGAAACCUGCAUAUUUAAAGUGUAUUUUUUAAGUGGAUCAAGAAGCCAACCCCUUCCUCUGAGUCAGUGACAGUCACAGGCCAAGGGAAGUAGAAAUAUGAAGCCAAUGGCUUCCUGUGAGCCAGCAGUUGGGCUGGGAGAUAAGAGCUGAGCCCCUCCCAACCCCUGCAAGCAACCAGCUGACCACAGACAUACAGGCUGGGAUAAUAGCUACUGAGGCAGGAAGAAAAACAACUUAAGCCUGUAGUGUUUAGCAUUUCACUUUGCAGGCCUAGCCCAGUGCUCUGAGCAUUUACUUGGUGGAAAAUAAUAUGCAGUAUAGCAGCUAUGGGAGAGUUCCUUCUAAAGGUGAAAGCCACUGUUAAUUCCCUAUUAUCUUGUUUUAAAGUUCUGUAUCACUUUCAGGGUUUUGUUUGGCUUGUUUUAGUUUUAUUCUGUUUUACUUUGUUUCAUUUUAUUCUGUUUAUUGACAGCUAUUUCAAAGAUAACAAGACAUACUAUUGAAGCUGAUGGUGAUUUCUUAUUAUCUUGUUUUUGAAGUCUUCCAUUGUUUUCAUUGUUUUGUUUCGAUUGGUUUCUGUUCUGUUUUGUUUCAUUUUAUAAUGUCUGAUGGUAUGGCCGGCUAUUUUGAAGACAACAAGAGGCAUUAUGGUAGCCAUUGUUGAUUUCUUAUGGUCUGGUUUUAAAGUUGUGUAUCACUUUCACUGUUUUGUUUUGAUUGGUUUUAUUUAUUGUUUUAUUCAUGUCAAAAUAGAAGAAAAUAUAACAUGCAUUUUUUAGAAAAUAUAAAGUUCUAGCUAUGAUCUGGCUGUAUAUGUUGAUUUAGUAUCCUAAUGAAAUGCUUUCAAAUAUUUUUCCUUCCUAUCUGUCAUAUUUUAUAUCUUUCAAUUUAAUCUCUUCCAAAGGGCACACCUACUUGAAGAGUGUGUAUGUGUGUGUGUGUGUGUGUGUGUGUGAAACACAAUUCUGAGAGGUAACAUCUUAUUUUAUACAUCACUAAGGUAGGUGAAGAUAUGCCAAGUAACUUGCACAGGUGCAAGUACAGACAGUAAGAAUUUAAACCCAGGCAUGUUCCACAGUACAGUGGAUCCCCUAAAUGCACAGUACUGGUCCUAGAGCACUUGCAAUUGCAAAAGACUGCAAAUUUCAGAUAUGAUCAUAAAAAUGCUUAUCAAUGCCUUUUUUAUAGUUUAAACUCUAUAAAUAUGCUAUGACUUCUGGAAUUACAUAAUUUAAUAAAAUAUUGUAUUGAUGAAACUUUAGUGUGGGGCAUUUUGGCAGCAUCAUUGGGAUCUUAGGGUUUUUAAGAACACAACUGACAACAAUGGAGACAGACGCAUGCAGUGCAUCAACCUGUUACAAUGCAGAGAUGGGUUACAAGGCAGCAAGCACUCCAAAGCCAGAAGAACUGAGUAACGUGUGAAUGCACUACUCGCAAACCUCCUGCCAGAAACUCCUUGUGGAGGAUCCCUGUGGUUGCCAUGAAACUGUGGGGGGCUCUGUGAAAAAAUGUUAGGAUCCAACUAAAAAUCAGUGAAAGAGUGAGGCUGAGAACUCUGAACUGUGACAUCGUGGGAGUAUACCUUAUGUUAUGAAAUAACUACCUUUAAGCAUUUAGUGUUGUUAAGUGAUGUUAAGACCACAUUGACAUUUCCCACAGCUUCAAACACUGAUGGCACAGGCAUGACUAUCCUGCUGGGCAGCACUGAAAGGCAUGCAAGUGUGGCUCCACUGUGACUGUGUUAACCCAUAUCAGCAUCCAUUGUCAGUUAUAAUCACAUAAUUUCUGAGUUUUACAAAUAUUCUUAAAAAUUAAAAUGAAUAAACAUGUCUUUCUCUACUGAUGGUUUCUAGUGGUGUAUGAAUACACUCUAAAAUCUUAAGAAAACAACUCUUAAAUGCUGCAUUCUUGCUCAGAACACCUGCUUCCCUAACUUUCCCAGUGAAAGGUGUCUAGUGUUGCCGAUCGUCCCCGGUAGUCAGCUUCCUGUGUGACCAGUGUUGAAACUGCUCUUUGUCAAAUUCAUUUGUGCUUCUCUUAGCCAAUCUUUCUGCAGCAAUGAUGAGGCUGGGUAUCCUCUUGCUUUCCCUGUAGACUACACUGUUCUGUUUUAUUUCUAGAAAAGCAAUUCCUGCUAACAUUCCAUUAAAGGAAAAUAAAACAUUUACAGAGGUUUUAACUUCCUCCA